UACGUAGGGUGCAAGCGUUAAUCGGAAUUACUGGGCGUAAAGCGCGCGUAGGCGGCUUGUUAAGUCAAAUGUGAAAUCCCCGAGCUUAACUUGGGCAUUGCAUUCGAUACUGGCAAGCUAGAGUAUGGGAGAGGAAGGUAGAAUUCCAGGUGUAGCGGUGAAAUGCGUAGAGAUCUGGAGGAACACCCGUGGCGAAAGCGGCGCGCUGGACCACUACUGACGCUGAGGAACGAAAGCUAGGGGAGCAAACAGG
rnacentral:rRNA from 1 species